CCAGGAGGCUCCAGAGCUCUGGGCAAGUGGGAUCACUUAUGGGAGCCCUGCAGCUAUGGGCUCAGGGCCAUUGGAAAUGCCAGUGCUCUUCCCUUUACCCUGUGCUUCCUCUGAUCUUCUCUGGAGGAUGGGACUUGGGCUUUGCACAGGGAUCUAUCCCAGUUUUUCUAACAAAUUUUAAACAGGACUAGCAGUUUUGUGCAAGACCAUCAGUGCUGCUGAUAUGCAUCGUUUCUACAACUUCAAAAAAGCAAACAUAGUACAGGCAGGAAGAUGAGUGAACAUGCAGUAGUCCAAAGGAAAGGCACAUCUUUCACUAGGGGUAAAUGAACCUCCAUUCCCAACGUGGCUCGUUUCUCCUCUCCCAUCACAAAAAGCAAGGUGAUACUUGGGCCAAGAAAGGCUGAGAAUUCUCACAAGUUCCUUUCUGCUCUUGCAGUGAUCAGUGGAAGAUCAGUGCUGGUUUCCAUGCACAACCCAGAACAGCAGUUCCUCAGUUCUGGGCAGAAAAGCUCCCCCUUGCAGACUCCUCAGCCCAGAAACAUUCAAGAUAUGCUCAAGGGGCAGCAGAGAUGCUGAUCCAAACCCCUCCUGAUGCUAUUCCUCAGAGCAGGGGCAGGGCAGGAGAGAGAAAACAACAGGUUUCUGGGCACCUGUCUCUGAUACGACCUUCCCUGGGAGAGCAUGACCUCGGCAGCUCUGCCCUCCCCACGGGAAGAUGCCUCCCACCCCGGGAGGAAGGCACAGCUGGACUCCAACCAUCAAUCACCUUCCACCGGGAAGGGCUUGUGGGAUUCCUGGUGGGGUGACUUUUUUCAAAGCCUCCUGCAAUAACAGCAACCGUUGCUCAGCUUCCUUUCUAGAUAACCUUUUUCCUGCUGCCCAACAUGCUUAUCUGCUGCAGACAGGCUGGCAAGAUGAACCGGAAAGCUGAUACCUUAUCUCUCCCCCUCAAGGAGCCCAUUUAAGUGUUGGAAUGUGUUGAGAUGGUUAAUGAUUGUUAAAAUCCAAGUGAGGAACAUGGACCUAAGGACAGGUCCUGCUGGGAGGGAACACUUAGUCAAAAAGGACUUUCCAGGCUCUUCUAUCUGCCAAAAGAUGCAUCAUCUAAAAUGUAAAAUAUUUAUUUAAAACUAAAAAGUAUAGACUGGGUUUCUGGCUAAUCUGGGGGUUACCACUGCAGGCUGCUUUCAACUCAAUGAGGUUUGCUGUGUCCCUUGCAUAUGUUUUUGUCUGUGUCUCAGUUUACUCACUGCAGGAAAUACACUGCUGUGGGUCUGCCCUGCAAGGGAUGCAGUGUGUGAGUCCUUUAAUCUGACUGCUGUGGGAAGCAGUAGGAUGCUCACACAUUCAUAAAGGUAAAUAGGAUUGGAGUGCUAUCGGGCUAAUUGAACUGAACGGGGCUCAGCGGCUCAGUCAGCCUGAUACAAUGAAAUGAGACCUCUCUGGGGACACAGGAGUCAAGCAUAGCUUCAGCACUUCACUUAUUUAAGCCACUGCAAGUGGCAGCUACAGCAACAGCAAUUGCAGGCGCCGGGAUUUGAGCACUGUGACAGGAGAGGGGCCAGGGAACACCGGCAUGGCCAGGGUGAUGUCUGUAACAGCUGCUGGGGAUGGGUGAGACAGGCUUAUUUUGGUCCUGACCUGGGUGAAAAAAUAGCUGUUGGAGAUGUUGCCAGCCUGAAACACUCUGCCAGCAAGAGCCAGAGUGCUCUCCUUCCUGAAAGACAACUGUGUUCCAGCACACCUGGGGGUUAGGGUGGAGAAAGGAGAGCAGGGCCAGGCAAACCCUCACACAAGUGGGUUGUGUGACCCUGAGGAGCUCUGGGAGUGCCCAGAUCCCAGCACACAGAGCAGUGAGGGAUGGGAGCAAGGGGUCCCUGCACCCCCUGCCCUAACAGCACCCACGAGGGCCAGGCUCAGACCUGGGCAUGGUUCUCUGCCACUCCAUCUGCUCUUGGACUAUGUUUGCGAGAGAAACUGUUCAGCUGCAAUGCUACCAUGGCCUGCUGCAUCUGAAAGUUAAUCUGUUCCACAUCACUGAUUACUUUUCCCUAGUGAUGCAUAAGGAAUCACCCCAGAGCAGACCUCAGCCUGUCUCAGCCAAGAGCUUCAACAGAAACACAGGUGAUCUUGUGGCAGCCAGGCUGGGACAAUGUUCUUUCUGGGAGGUCUGAUCCCAUCCCAAGCUUGCUAGAGCUGCCCUAUCCCCUGAGGCUUUUCAUCCCCUGCAAAACUCUUGAAAUUAAACACUGCAAUGUGCAUGUUUGCAAGAUCCUCCAAAUGCUCUUUGCAUCUUAUGAUGUCCUUGACACCAUCCUAUUGGGUAGGAGCGGGUUGCCAACCUCAGCCACAACCUUUUUGGGGUUGCAGAGAGGACCCUGUAGGGAAGCAGGACGGGAGGCCUGUGGUACUCAUUUUUCUCUCCAUGAUGUGAUUUGAUUACAUUGAGGAGGAGCAAGGCUGUAAUGGCUGCUGUGUCCUGACAUAGCUGAUCAAUCCUGUGUGUCUUUGCUCCUGCCCCCUUGUUUAAUUCCUUUAGGACAGCACUUGUGUUUUUGGGGUCAUUGCAGCUCUAAUCUUCACUGCACUGCUGGGUGCAGUGACUGUCAGGAUGGGGCUGAGCUGUCCUGCAAAUAGAACAAGGCCAUCUUAGCAGUUGUCCCUGUCAAUGUAAAAAGUAGGAAUGAGGGAGAUCCAUCUGAGCUGCUCGGCGCCUGUCUUGUGAUCCUGAAACCCAAGAGCCCCCCCUGACUCAGCAGGUUAUUAAUAACCCCCUGGCUGUGCUCCCAC